ACCCCGGUGAGAAUGCCCUACAGUCUCCUGGAUGGAGACAAGGAGCUGGUAUCAGGCACAAUUCCUUUAGCCCACGACGCCUUGCUAAGCCACACCCCCAAGGGAAUUCAGCAGUGAUAAAUAUUAAGCCAUGAGUGAAAACUCGACUUAGUUAGUGUUGACAGGGCCGGUAAAUCUCGUGCCAGCCACCGCGGUUAUACGAGAGACCCAGGUUGAUGGUCUUCGGCGUAAAGAGUGGUUAAGAAACACCCAAAAACUAAAGCCAAACGACUUCAAAGCUGUUAUACGCGCAUGAAGACACUGAGGCCCAUCUACGAAAGUGGCUUUAAUUUUCUGAACCCACGAAAGCUAUGAUACAAACUGGGAUUAGAUACCCCACUAUGCCUAGCCCUAAACAUUGAUAAGCCCCCACUUAACUUAUCCGCCCGGGUACUACGAGCAAUAGCUUAAAACCCAAAGGACUUGGCGGUGCUUUAGACCCAACUAGAGGAGCCUGUCCUAGAACCGAUAACCCCCGUUCAACCUCACCUUUCCUUGUCAUAUCCGCCUAUAUACCGCCGUCGUCAGAUUACUCUGUGAGGAACUCGUAGUAUACAGAAUCGGUCACAGCCAAAAACGCCAGGUCGAGGUGUAGCGUAUGGAAAGGGCUAGAGAUGGGCUACAUUCAAUAUCCUAUAAUGAAUACGAAUGGUACAAAUGAAAAAAGUACUUGAAGGAGGAUUUAGUAGUAAGCAGUGAAUAGAGUGCUCUGCUGAAACUGGCACUAAGGCGCGCACACACCGCCCGUCACUCUCCCCGAGCUAACAGAAAUGCAUUCCUAAUAAGCGAACGCCGCUAAGGGGAGGCAAGUCGUAACAUGGUAAGCGUACCGGAAGGUGCGCUUGGAAUAACUU
rnacentral:ncRNA from 1 species